GAUGAACGCUGGCGGCGUGCCUAAUACAUGCAAGUCGAGCGAACAGACGAGGAGCUUGCUCCUCUGACGUUAGCGGCGGACGGGUGAGUAACACGUGGAUAACCUACCUAUAAGACUGGGAUAACUUCGGGAAACCGGAGCUAAUACCGGAUAAUAUAUUGAACCGCAUGGUUCAAUAGUGAAAGACGGUUUUGCUGUCACUUAUAGAUGGAUCCGCGCCGCAUUAGCUAGUUGGUAAGGUAACGGCUUACCAAGGCAACGAUGCGUAGCCGACCUGAGAGGGUGAUCGGCCACACUGGAACUGAGACACGGUCCAGACUCCUACGGGAGGCAGCAGUAGGGAAUCUUCCGCAAUGGGCGAAAGCCUGACGGAGCAACGCCGCGUGAGUGAUGAAGGUCUUCGGAUCGUAAAACUCUGUUAUUAGGGAAGAACAAAUGUGUAAGUAACUAUGCACGUCUUGACGGUACCUAAUCAGAAAACCACGGCUAACUACGU
rnacentral:rRNA from 1 species